AGACUCGAUGAAUGAACGCCAAAUUGGCUGUUUCCCGUCACUUCUACAAGCAAUUCAAGACGGAGUACUACCUUGGCUAGGAGAAGCUGUAGCCAUUACAUACAAGCUGCAAACAUCUCGUAUGCACGCGAACAAAAAGUUGGUACUGAGAUACAACUAACAAAACAACACAGCAUAAGUUCUAUUCAAACAUAAAAACACACCGGCAGGAAUAAACUAAAUAUUUAGUUUCAACUCAUAACCUCCAUCCAGAAAAGUAACACGAACAAAAUAAGAUAGCUGAACGCUGGCUAGGAAUGUCGACACAAGUACUCAAGAAAUCAGCCAUCAAAACUGACUACAAAGUUCACGACACCAAGUGGCACAUAUAUCAUCUUCUAGAUAUGAAGCAGCAAAAUAGCGACUUCUAUUCUCUACUCAGCAGCAGCAACCUCCUCCGCACCAGGAAUGACCUCGUCCCCAUCAGCAGGCCUGUCAAGCUUCACACCAACAUCCUCCUUGUAGUCACCGUGAACCUGGAACAGGCAACAUGUGUCACAUUAGAACUUCAGUAGACAUGGAGAACAAACAAUUAACAAUAUUAUCUAAUGCCCAGCUAACACUAUAUUCAGUAGACAUGGUUGUGCCAUGAGACAAUUACCUCCAUGAGCUUCCCCAGGUCGAACUUGGGGGCCUUCAGGAUCUUCACCUUGCGGACGUACACGUUCUGGAGGGGGAAGAUGCUUGAGGUAGCCUUCUCAAUCUCCUUUCCGAUCACCUCAGGGAUGAACUUGUUCACAAGCUCCUUCAAGUCACAGCUUGCAGCUUGGUUGACCAUGAUCUCAACCAUCUUGCGGCGGAUCUACAAGCAAGAAACACAGAUAGAGUUGUUAACAAUCACCUCAAUGAUCACCAAAACAUUAUCCAUACAAAGAUACAAAAGGAGGAGGACUAAUUUACCUGUCUGAUCUGACUUGCUUGGGCAUAGCAAGUGCGCUUCACCUGGUUCGGGCGUCUCUUGGUGAAGCCAAUGGCGAACAUGCGAAGCAUGUAGUUGUCAGUUGUCUUCACAUCCACAUGAGCCUCAAUGAGUGUCUGCCACUUCCUCACAAGGGACCUGAGCUUGUCAGUGGUGAAGUCCAUGCCCUGGCAAGAGGAGGAACAGGUUAGCAAAGCAAAAACACAAUAUAACAUCAUGUUAAAGGCAAUGCCAGAGAAAUCAUUACCCAGAAGUUGGUGAGGACAUUCAUCCCUUGCACAUCCUCAGCACGGAGUCUGAUCUUCCUGUAGGCCUGGUCCUCGUCGUUCUGAAGAUCAGCUAGAGAUACUUCAAACACCCUGUGCUUCAGACCCUCUGAGGCAAUCUAAAACAAAAAUGAAAUGUGCAGUCAGCUAAUACUGUUAUAAUCUCUACAAACGCAAGCAUUAAACACGUUGCUAAAUGAAUGUAAAAUCAAAAGGCCUAGGGAUAACAAGAGCUACAACAUAGACACACAGUUGGACAAAACACAAACGACUGACAGUACUUAUGCUGAGCUACUGAUUCUAAUCAACAGACGCAGUGCUAGCUUUAAAACAAGUGGGCCAUAACAACACAUAAAUUGUGCAAGAGUGAAACAAGAUGCAUGAUAUCGUUUCAUAUACAAAUUACAGCACUGAGAACAUAUGUAAGACAAAAAUAGUAAAUCUGAAGUAACAUCAAUUAUCAGCAGGGUAAUAAUAGCGAUUGCAUUCUAGUCUAUCACGUCCUUCAGCUCUUAACACAACAAGGCAACCUUGAGAAAAAGGUUGAAUCCAUUUCAUGCCAACAGGACUAAAUAGAUCACAAUCGCAUAUAUGAGACCAGGCAGACUACUAAACAGCUAAUCCCUGGGACAGAAGACAUCAAUGGAAGUGACAAACACCGCAAGCGCAGAUGCAAGGCCGGGGAGAGCAUACCUUGGUACCCUGUGUCCUGGACACGAGGGUCUUGCCGACGUUGCGGCUGGUGAACAGCAGCGGCGCCUUGAUGUCAUACCACUGCUUCUUGGUGAACGGAUCGACGCUGCAAAACCACGAGAAACCAGGCAAGAAACCGCAUCAGCACAUGACGAAUGAGGAGAAGAAGAAACAGAUCCCAGAUCACGAUGGUGCAGAGGAUGAGCGGGGUGGGGGAGGCACUCACGCCUUCUUCUUGCUACCCUUCCUCCCCUUGGAGAUGCGCUUGUUCUUGCCGACCGCCAUGGUUGCCGCUGCGGGUGGAGUGGCGGCGCUGCGGCGUCUGGGGGCUUGAGCGUCGGGGCUUCUGGGGCGCGAGGGGUGGAAACCCUACACAGGCGAGAGGUAUAUAUAGUGCGCUUCGAGGGUUUCCAUUCCAUCGUGCGGUCGCGAGGAUGCCGGGUGGAUGGACGGAUGGGAUGCGGGGAAGCCCAUGUGGGCUCUUCGGAGAGAUUGCGUUGAAGCUUCUAACUCCGCUCGGCCCAACAGUGUAUAGCAUGGGCUCAGCCCGUCUCUUCUUUUGGUUGCCUGCCACGCACGAGGGGAGCUUGGGCUGGACAAAAAUAAAUACUUGUCUAAAAAAAUACAGUUUUGCUAAAGCACAUAUGAGAAUUAGGUUUUUAGGCUAAAAUGAGAAUUAAGUAUUGCACAUCUAAGUUCGUCGCCACGCAAUUAGUUAUUGCUAGAUUCGUGCAAAAGGUUUGCCUCUGCUGUCGGGCUCGUGUUUGUAUCCUGGCGGGCCAUGUUUGCUUUUUGUGUUCAUCUCGCAUGGGCAUUUUUGUGUUUUGUGGGUUAUAUGGGUUGCAUGUGUUGCUCACCUUGUUGUUGUGGGUUUUUCUUUUUGCAACGAAGUGUGGCACGACG
rnacentral:lncRNA from 1 species